GAUCGCGGCGACGUGGGCGGUUCGCCGCUGGCGACGUCGCGAGAAUUCCACUGAACCUUAUCAUUUAGAGGAAGGAGAAGUCGUAACAAGGUUUCCGUAGGUGAACCUGCGGAAGGAUCAUUGUCGAACCCUGCAAGGCAGAACGACCUGUGAACACGUAAAUACAACUGGGUGAUGGGGAGAUGGGCCUUGGUCCUUUUCCCCAUCCCCUCCCGGCGUGCAUGUGUGGUGCCUCGUCUGAGGUGCCAUGGAUGUCAAGCUGGAUUAUAACAAAACCCCGGCACGGCAUGUGCCAAGGAUAUGCAUGCGGUUCGUGGACUCUUUGUAAUUACAAACGACUCUCGGCAACGGAUAUCUCGGCUCACGCAUCGAUGAAGAACGUAGCAAAAUGCGAUACUUGGUGUGAAUUGCAGAAUCCCGUGAACCAUCGAGUUUUUGAACGCAAGUUGCGCCCGAAGCCAUUCGGCCGAGGGCACGCCUGCCUGGGCGUCACGCAUCGCGUCGGCCCCCCACCAUAUUAACUCAUGGUGAUGGGGGCGGAGAUUGGUCUCCCGUGCCUGUUGCGGUUGGCCUAAAAAGGAGUCCCCUUCAGUGGACACACGAUUAGUGGUGGUUGAACAGGCCUUCGUCUUUAUCGUGUGUCGUGAGCUCUAGGGAAGCCAUCAUCAAAGACCCCAUUGUAUCGUUUGAGGACGGUGCUUCGACCGCGACCCCAGGUCAGGCGGGACUACCCGCUGAGUUUAAGCAUAUCAAUAAGCGGA
rnacentral:rRNA from 1 species